rnacentral:rRNA from 1 species
UAGAGUUUGAUCAUGGCUCAGAACGAACGCUGGCGGCAGGCCUAAUACAUGCAAGUCGAACGAACCUUCGGGUGAGUGGCGCACGGGUGAGUAACACGUGGGAACGUACCCUUCACUGCGGAACAACGUCGGGAAACUGACGCUAAUACUGCGUAAUGUCUCCGGACCAAAGAUUUAUCGGUGAAGGAUCGGCCCGCGUUAGAUUAGGUUGUUGGUGGGGUAAUGGCCUACCAAGCCUACGAUCAAUAGCUGGUCUUAGAGGAUGACCAGCCACACUGGGACUGAGACACGGGCCAGACUCCUACGGGAGGCAGCAGUAAGGAAUAUUGGACAAUGGGCGCAAGCCUGAUCCAGCCAUGCCGCGUGAGUGACGAAGGCCUUAGGGUUGUAAAGCUCUUUCAGGUGCGAAGAUAAUGACUGUAACACCAGAAGAAGCCCCGGCUAAAUUCGUGCCAGCAGCCGCGGUAAUACGAAUGGGGCGAGCGUUGUUCGGAAUCACUGGGCGUAAAGCGUAUGCAGGCGGACAUGCAAGUCAGAAGUGAAAUCCCAGGGCUUAACCCUGGAAUGGCUUUUGAAACUGCAUGUCUAGAGUCUCGGAGGGGCCAGCGGAAUUCCCAGUGUAGAGGUGAAAUUCGCAGAUAUUGGGAGGAACACCAGUGGCGUAGCGGCUGGCUGGACGAGUACUGACGCUCAGAUACGAAAGCGUGGGGAUCAAACAGGAUUAGAUACCCUGGUAGUCCACGCUGUAAACGAUGUGUGCUAGUUGUCGGGCCUCAGGUCGGUGACGCAGCUAACGCA